GACGAACGCUGGCGGCGUGCUUAACACAUGCAAGUCGAACGAUGAACCUCGAAAUGAUUUCUUCGGAAAGAUUUUUGAGAGGAUUAGUGGCGAACGGGUGAGUAACGCGUGAGCAACCUGCCUUAGACAAGGGGAUAGCCUCGGGAAACCGUGAUUAAUACCCUAUGAGACUCCACUUACGAGUGUAAGAGAAGUUAAAGCUAUUGCGGUCUAAGAUGGGCUCGCGUCUGAUUAGCUAGUUGGUGAGAUAAAAGCCCACCAAGGCGACGAUCAGUAACCGGCUUGAGAGAGUGAACGGUCACAUUGGAACUGAGACACGGUCCAAACUCCUACGGGAAGCAGCAGUGGGGAAUAUUGCACAAUGGGGGCAACCCUGAUGCAGCGACGCCGCGUGAGCGAUGAAGGAAUUCGUUUCGUAAAGCUCUGUCCUUGGAGAAGAUAAUGACGGUAACCAAGGAGGAAGCACCGGCUAAAUACGUG
rnacentral:rRNA from 1 species